rnacentral:rRNA from 1 species
AGUGAAUAGAUACCCAGGUAGUCCAUGCCGUAAACGAUGGAUGCCAGCUGUAUUCGGUAUCGACCCCGGAUGUAGCGAAGCUAACGCGUUAAGCAUCCCGCCUGUGGAGUACGGUCGCAAGACUAAAACAUAAAGGAAUUGACGGGGACCCGCACAAGCGGUGGAGCGUGUUGUUUAAUUCGAUGAUAAGCGAAGAACCUUACCCAGGCUUGACAUCCUUGGAAUUUCUCCGAAAGGAGAGAGUGCUUUUAGAGCCAAGUGACAGGUGUUGCAUGGCCGUCGUCAGCUCGUGUCGUGAGAUGUUUGGUUAAGUCCAUCAACGAGCGCAACCCUUAUGAUUAGUUGGAUUUUUCUAGUCAGACUGCCCUGGCAACAGGGAGGAAGGAGGGGAUGAUGUCAGGUCAGUAUUACCCUUACGCCCGGGGCUACAACACGCUACAAUGGCCGGUACAAAGGGCAGCCAAGUCGCAAGACGGAGCAAAUCCCAUCAAAGCCGGUCCCAGUUCGGAUAGCAGGCUGAAACUCGCCUG